AUGCCAACCAGCGAUGGUGAGCGAAUCCCAAAAAGUGCGUCGUAGUCCGGAUUGGAGUCUGCAACUCGACUCCAUGAAGUCGGAAUCGCUAGUAAUCGUGGAUCAGAAUGCCACGGUGAAUACGUUCCCGGGCCUUGUACACACCGCCCGUCACACCAUGGGAGUGGGCUGCAAAAGAAGUGGGUAGUUUAACCUUUCGGGGAGGACGCUCACCACUUUGUGGUUCAUGACUGGGGUGAAGUCGUAACAAGGUAGCGCUAGGGGAACCUGGCGCUGGAUCACCUCCUUA
rnacentral:rRNA from 1 species